AGAUUUACCUUACUGUAUUUUAUCAAGACCUGCUUCAAAAAAAUCCCCAUAUGCUGCUACACUAAUCAAUGAAGCUCUUCACUUGAGUAUUUAUAAUUCUCAUUGUUAUUAAUGUUAUAUUUUAUUCAUUUUAAAAAUAAUCUCUUUCCCUGUAGAACUCUAUUUAAACUCCCUGUAUCAAGAGAUGUAGAAACUGAGAUAGCUUACAAUCAGUGGUAUUGCAGCAAGUAGGAGUGGGCCCAGGUGACAGUGUAUUGCUACUGAAUGGACUCAUACUUCAAGAAGACGACAGGAACGUCUUCCGUAUUUUAGAUUAUCUUAAGAGAGAGUCAAGACUGUUGUCUGGGCUUGAGGGGCUGGGAAUUUUGUUGAAAUAUUUUGUUCAGAUGGUGUCGUUAUCAGUCCAUCUACAGCACAGCACCUUUGCUGUUGAUAUGAGGAAUGAGUCAGUAUUGUUUUAAUAAUAUUGAGGAAGAUGAAAGAUAUUCUAGGUGGCCAUCAUCAGUCAAUGAGUUCCAGCAUCCAGCAUUCCUGGGUAUAUUACAUGACUUACGUCAGAUCAGAAAGAAUGCUUUUACAAUUAUUUAUGUAUGUAACCACUGAAAAGGGAGCACCACAUUAUUGUACACAGUUUAAUGGAAGAUCAAGAGGACACCAUCCAUUCCUCAAGCAUACAGCAUCCCUAAACUCCUUGCAUGUUCAGAUCAAGACCAUAUUCCUUGAGAGGGAGAGCAGUCAGUCAUAGACUCAUCCUUCUCUCAUGAGAUUGCUACUCUACUGAUGUUGGUGUGCCUCCAAUAUGGUGCUCUUUCUUACUACUAUCUAAUUUUUUUAUAAUUUUAAAAUUAUUUUGUUUUAUGAUCUAAGACAACUUUAAAUAUUGUCCAAUAGUGAGUCAGGUUUAGCUUUUGGUAUUUCAGCAUUUGAAAGACUUGGUUCUGGCCACAAUGACAAGUAGCAUUUUGGAAAUCCUUUGGUAAGGUAAUAGUGUAUGUAUCUAAAGAAACAUGACUGAAGAUCCUGAAUCCUCUCUACAGCAUUUUCUAAUUUGUUACCAUGUAUAUCCUUUUUAGCAUAUUUUCAGAG